rnacentral:rRNA from 1 species
UACGGAGGAGGCAAGCGUUAUCCGGAAUUAUUGGGCGUAAAGCGUCCGCAGGUGGCGAUUCAAGUCUGCGGUCAAAGACUGGGGCUUAACCCUGGAAAGGCCGUGGAAACUGAAAAGCUAGAGUGCAGUAGGGGUAGAGGGAAUUCCCGGUGUAGCGGUGAAAUGCGUAGAGCUCGGGAAGAACAUCGGUGGCGAAAGCGAUCUGCUGGACUGCAACUGACACUCAGGGACGAAAGCUAGGGGAGCGAAUGGG